ACCGGGAAGAAAACCGUUCUGAUCUUUUAGUACAAAUGCAAAACUAAUUCAUCAGCCCCUCUACCUGCUUUUCUGGGAAGGUAGUUUGAAGAAAUUGGCGGGAAGAUACUUUGCUCAGAAUUGCCAGAGCCCCAUGGAGCCCCAUCCAGAACAUGCAGCUUUACUAAAGUCUCAUGAUGAAACCGAUUUAUCAUUUUGCCCUUCCCAUAGCUGAGGGUCAAAGGGCAGCCACCACAGUUUGGCUAAGGGCCCUUCUUGUGUACAGAAUACUUCAAACUGGCGCUGACCAUGGAGGCCUGGAUGGAAGAACACCCCAGGUAUUCAUUCUUCUGGAGACCAGCAGACCAGAAACCAGGUCAUCCCCAUCAAGAACUUUUCCACCUGCCUCAGUUCUAGGGAGAGCCGGUCCACUGUCCAUUCACAUGUGGUAAGC